UACGUAGGGAGCGAGCGUUGUCCGGAAUUACUGGGCGUAAAGGGCGCGUAGGCGGGAUAUUAAGUCAGGUGUGAAAACUCUGGGCUUAACUUGGAGAUGGCACUUGAAACUGAUAUUCUUGAGGACAGGAGAGGGAAGCGGAAUUCCUAGUGUAGCGGUGAAAUGCGUAGAUAUUAGGAGGAACACCAGUGGCGAAGGCGGCUUUCUGGACUGUAACUGACGCUGAGGCGCGAAAGCGUGGGGAGCGAACGGGAUUAGAUACC
rnacentral:rRNA from 1 species